rnacentral:lncRNA from 10 species
GUAUUAGUCUCUUCUCGCAUUGCUAUAAAGAACUAUCUGAGACUGGGUAAUUUAUAAAGACAAGAGGUUUAAUUGGCUCACAGUUCCACAGGCUGUACAGGAAGCAUGGCUGGGAGGCCUCAGGGAACUUACAAUCGUGGUGGAAGGCGAAGGGGAAGCAGGCCCGUCUUACAUGGCCAGAGCAUGGACAAGAGAGUGAAGCGGGAGGUGCCACACACUUUUAAACAACCAGGUUUUGUGAGAACUCAUCACUCUCAUGAGAACAGCAAGGAGGAGUCUGCCCCGUGAUCCAGCCAUCUCCCACCAGGCCCUUCUCCAACACUGGGGAUUACAAUUCGAUGAGAUUUGGGCGGAGACACAAAUCCACACCAUAUCACGAGCGUCAAACAAUAUCCUCAGCUAUGAAAGAUGAGGAAAUCAAUGCACCUAACAUCCUCCCAUCAUUGCGCACUGCAGCCUCUACCUCCCAGGCUCAAGCAGUCCUCCUGCCUCAGUCCCUCCAGCAGCUGGAACUACAGAAUAUUGCCGUCUGAAGCUGAUCAGAUUUUCCCUUCAUUAGUGACUUGAUUUUGGAGGGGGCAGGAGGAAGGAGAGAGGCUGGCUUUCUUUAGGAUUCUGUCUGUAUUUGAGAAGUCCAAAAGGACUUGUACCUCCCAGAAGUUCACGGAAGUGCUCAGGACAACAGAAUAUUGUGAGGCCAACACAGCAAACAGAGCAACGAUGAGCAGCCACUUUUGACUUUGGUUUCCUUAUUCAGGAAAUAAAACAGAUGAUCUGACAGAAAAGAGCCGUUUCGUGGGAAAGAUCGCAGCAGGGAUUAACACGUGAAUCAUUUCUUGACUUUUUGAAAGCCUUUGAUGGGUUGAAUUAUUUUCCACAUCUCUGACACUUUGCUCAGAGUUUCUUUAACUUUGCGCAUUUUGGAAAUCGCUUUCAAACUUUAAUUUUAAUCUUCUUUGAAAAUGGGGCCCUACGAAACCACUUCGAUUCCACACGAGGCUCCUGCAUGCCCAGGAAGUGUUAUGCUUCUGAGGCUGCUCAUUUUGGAAACAAGUUUAUAACUAAGAAAAGGAAAUCACAGAACGGUGAAUCUUCCUGGACAGUUUCAUUUCAGGCACCCAUUGCGGCCCCUCCCAGCCAGGCCCGAGCACCUGGUUCCCACUCACCCUCCGCGGG